rnacentral:rRNA from 1 species
UACGUAGGGGGCAAGCGUUGUCCGGAUUUAUUGGGCGUAAAGAGCGUGUAGGCGGCCAUACAGGUCCGUUGUGAAAACUCGAGGCUUAACCUCGAGACGUCGAUGGAAACCGUAUGGCUAGAGGCCGGAAGAGGAGAGUGGAAUUCCUGGUGUAGCGGUGAAAUGCGCAGAUAUCAGGAGGAACACCGGUGGCGAAGGCGGAUCUCUGGGCCUUACCUGACGCUGAGGCGCGAAAGCUAGGGGAGCAAACAGG